UACGGAGGGGGCUAGCGUUGCUCGGAAUCACUGGGCGUAAAGCGCACGUAGGCGGCUUUUUAAGUCAGGGGUGAAAUCCUGGAGCUCAACUCCAGAACUGCCUUUGAUACUGAGGAUCUUGAGUUCGGGAGAGGUGAGUGGAACUGCGAGUGUAGAGGUGAAAUUCGUAGAUAUUCGCAAGAACACCAGUGGCGAAGGCGGCUCACUGGCCCGAUACUGACGCUGAGGCACGAAAGCGUGGGGAGCAAACAGG
rnacentral:rRNA from 1 species